rnacentral:rRNA from 1 species
CAAUAGCGUAUAUUAAAGUUGUUGCAGUUAAAAAGCUCGUAGUUGGAUUUGUGGCGUACGGUGUGUUCCGGGCACUUGUUGUCUGAGUAACCUGCUGUUGCCAUCCUUGGGUGGAACCUGUGUGGCAUUAGGUUGUCGUGCAGGGGAUGCCCAUCAUUUACUGUGAAAAAAUUAGAGUGUUCAAAGCAGGCUUAUGCCGUUGAAUAUAUUAGCAUGGAAUAAUGAGAUAGGACUUUUUUGCUAUUUUGUUGGUUUGCGCAAGAAGGUAAUGAUUAAUAGGGACAGCUGGGGGUAUUCGUAUUCCAUUGUCAGAGGUGAAAUUCUUGGAUUUUUGGAAGACGAACUACUGCGAAAGCAUUUACCAAGGAUGUUUUCAUUAA